CGGAGGAAAAGAAACUAACUAGGAUUCCCUUAGUAACGGCGAGUGAACCGGGAUGAGCUCAAAUUUGAAAUCUGGCGUCUUUCAGGCGUCCGAGUUGUAAUCUAUAGAGGCGUUUUCCGCGCCGGACCGCGUCCAAGUCUCUUGGAAUAGAGUAUCAAAGAGGGUGACAAUCCCGUACUUGACGCGACAACCGGUGCUCUGUGAUACGUUCUCAAUGAGUCGAGUUGUUUGGGAAUGCAGCUCUAAAUGGGUGGUAAAUUCCAUCUAAGGCUAAAUAUUGGCGAGAGACCGAUAGCGAACAAGUACCGUGAGGGAAAGAUGAAAAGCACUUUGGAAAGAGAGUUAAACAGCACGUGAAAUUGUUAAAAGGGAAACGAUUGAAGUCAGUCGUGUGGGAAGUAUUCAGCCGUCUCUGGCGGUGUAUUUGCUUCUCACGGGUCAACAUCAGUUUGAUCCGGUAGAAAAAGGCGGGAAGAAGGUGGCACCCUCGGGUGUGUUAUAGCUUCCUGUCAUAUGUGCCGGACCAGACUGAGGAACGCAGCUUGCAGCAAUGCCGGGGUUCGCCCACGUACAAGCUUAGGAUGUUGACAUAAUGGCUUUAAACGACCCGUCUUG
rnacentral:rRNA from 1 species